UUGAACGCUGGCGGCAUGCUUUACACAUGCAAGUCGAACGGCAGCGCGGGCUUCGGCCUGGCGGCGAGUGGCGAACGGGUGAGUAAUGCAUCGGAACGUGCCCAGUAGUGGGGGAUAGCCCGGCUAAAGCCGGAUUAAUACCGCAUACGACCUGAGGGUGAAAGCGGGGGACCGAAAGGCCUCGCGCUAUUGGAGCGGCCGAUGUCGGAUUAGCUAGUUGGUGGGGUAAAGGCUUACCAAGGCGACGAUCCGUAGCUGGUCUGAGAGGACGACCAGCCACACUGGGACUGAGACACGGCCCAGACUCCUACGGGAGGCAGCAGUGGGGAAUUUUGGACAAUGGGGGCAACCCUGAUCCAGCCAUGCCGCGUGCGGGAAGAAGGCCUUCGGGUUGUAAACCGCUUUUGUUCGGGAAGAAAUCCUCUGGGCUAAUACCCCGGGGGGAUGACGGUACCGGAAGAAUAAGCACCGGCUAACUACGUG
rnacentral:rRNA from 1 species